rnacentral:rRNA from 1 species
UACGUAGGGCGCAAGCGUUGUCCGGAAUUAUUGGGCGUAAAGAGCUCGUAGGCGGUUUGCCGCGUCUGCUGUGAAAACCUAAGGCUCAACCUUGGGCUUGCAGUGGGUACGGGCGAGACUAGAGUGCGGUAGGGGUGACUGGAAUUCCUGGUGUAGCGGUGGAAUGCGCAGAUAUCAGGAGGAACACCGAUGGCGAAGGCAGGUCACUGGGCCGCAACUGACGCUGGAGG